rnacentral:rRNA from 1 species
UCCCUACACGACGCUCUUCCGAUCUGUUUCCCAAGUCACGAUACUCUGCCCGUUUAUCAUCCACGCCCAACCGCUCGACUAGUGAGCUGUUACGCACUCUUUAAAUGAAUAAAAAUGGAGAGGAAAUAUUAUACUCUUGCGUUUGCGAUGAUAAUCCUGUAAAGGGGAGAGUAAAAUGGGGUUUAGCGUAAGACUGGUAUUAUUAAAAGCUAAUCGCGAAGGGAAACCGAAGAGAUUGAGGUGAAGCCAAGAGAUUGGCUCAUCGCAAAUUUCAGGUGAGGAGGUUUUGCCUCCUUGCAUUUUUAGUUUAAAUAUUAGGACCCGAAAGAUGGUGAACUAUUCCUGUACAAGCUGAAGUUUUGAGAAAUCAAAAUGGAGGGCUGUAGCGAUACUGACGUGCAAAUCGUUCGUUUGAUAUGGGUAUAGGUGCGAAAGACUAAUCGAACCAUCUGGUAGCUGGUUUCCUCCGAAAUUUCUCUCAGGAUAGCAGGAACUUAUUAUCAAGUUUCAUAUGGUAAAGAUAAUGAUUAGAGGAAUCGGGGAGAAUCAUCUCCUUGACCUAUUCUCAAACUUUAAACAUGUGAGAGGCGAUGAAUGCUUAAUUGAUUCGUCGUUUUGAAUUGAAGUUCUUAGUGGGCCGUCUUUGGUAAGCAGAGCUGGCGAUGCGGGAUCAACCGAACGUAAAGAUAAGGUGCCUUAAUUUACGCUAAUAAAGACAAUCUUAAAGGGUGUUUGUUCAUUUAGACAGCAGGACGGUGGUCAUGGAAGUAGAAAUCCGCUAAGGAGUGUGUAACAACUCACCUGCCGAAUGGAGAAGCCCCGAAAAUGAAUGGCGCUAAAGCGUAAUACCGAUACUUUACUAUCAUUUGAAUAAAAUAUAUCAAAUGAUAAGUAGGAGGACGUCAAGGUUUUUUGAGUUGAAGGGCAAAGGUAGCUUUGUUUGGAUCAACCUUGAGUGCAGAUCUUGGUGGUAGUAGCAAAUACAAAAGAGAAUAACUUUUGGGCCGAAGUGGAGAAAGGUUUUUAUAGAACGAUAUUCGAUAUAAAGUAAGUCGGUCCUAAGUGGAAAUGUGAAAACAUUAAAAUUGGUGGAAUUGUAUUCUGGGCAACUAGGGUCACCACCAUUCCUCGAAAGGGAAAGGAUUUAAUAUUAUCCUACCAAAAUAUGAAUGAGAUGUGGUAACACUUCAAUAUAUCAAUUACGUCAGUCACUCAACAAUGAAGAGUUUUCUUUUCUUCUUAAAACGAAUCCGCUAGGAGAGGGCCGUGGAAUGGAAUUAUUCCGAGAUAUGGCUCAAAUCGUUCAAGAGUCCAGCGCCUUUUUAUGCUGGAUAUUGUUAUGAGUGAUCGAUUCAUAAAACAUUGAUACUAAUUAAUCAAAACAUUCAUAUUUGUCCGUACUGAUAACCGCCUCAGGUCUCCAAGGUUAGAAGCCUCUGGUCGAUAGAAUAAUGUGGAUAAGGGAAGUCGGCAAGAUAGAUUCGUAACUUCGGGAAAAGAAUUGGCUCUAAAGUGGAGGGAGAGGGAGGUGAGAGAAGGCUUGAUGAGGGUUUUGAGGAUUAGGAGCAAUCUUGGUCUUUGGAGCUUUUGUCUUGUCAUCUUUCAUUGAAUGGGCAACUAUUCGCCCUCUUCCAUUAUUCCAUAGUUUAGAACCGUCACGGACAAAGGGAAUCCGACUGUUUAACUAAAACUUAGCAUAAUGAUGGACGGUGAUCGUUGUUGACAUUAUGUGAUUUCUGCCCAGUGCUCUGAAUGUCAAUUUGAAGAGACUCAAUGAAGCGCGGGUAAACGGCGGGAGUAACUAUGACUCUCUUAAGGUAGCCAAAUGCCUCGUCAUCUAAUUAGUGACGCGCAUGAAUGGAUUAACGAGAUUCCCACUGUCCCUAUUCACCAUCUAGCGAAACCACAGCCAAGGGAACGGGCUUGGCAACAUCUGCGGGGAAAGAAGACCCUUUUGAGCUUGACUCUAGUCUGAAAAAGUUGAAUGAUACGAGGGGUAUAGAAUAGGUGGGAGCAGCAAUGCGACAGUGAAAUACCACUACCCUUGAUGUUAUUCGACUAAAAUAAUCAAAAAUGGGGUGAAUUCGAAAGGAUUCAUUUUUCUGGAAAUAACUCGGGGUGACUGCUAGGGGCAAAUUUAAAAACGUCUUCUAGCCAGUUCCGGGGUCAUUUAUUAUUAAAAUUUUCAGGUGGGGAGUUUGGCUGGGGCGGCACAUCUGUUAGAAGAUAACACAGGUGUCCAAAGGGAAGCUCAAUAAGAACAGAAAUCUUAUGUAGAGUAAAAGGGCAAAAGCUUCCUUGAUUUUGAUUUUCAGUAAGAAUACAAAACUAGAAAUAGAGGCCUAUCGAUCCUUUAACUUAAGAUGGCGUAAAGAUUUAUCUUGUUAGAGGUGUCAGAAAAGUUACCAAAGGGAUAACUGGCUUGUGGCGGCCAAGCGUUCAUAGCGACGUCGCUUUUUGAUCCUUCGAUGUCGGCUCUUCCUAUCAUUGAGAAGCAGAAUUCUCCAAGUGUUGGAUUGUUCACCCUUUAAAAGGGAACGUGAGCUGGGUUCAGACCGUCGUGAGACAGGUUAGUUUUACCCUACAGAUAAAAACUAAUACAUUUACCAGGAUAGUAAUAAAAGUCAGUACGAGAGGAACCCUUUUAUCGGAUAAUUGGUUUAAAUAUUUCCAUGAACAUGGAGUGAUAUGAAGCUACAAUCCGAAAGAUAAUGGUUGAAAGCCUCUAAAUCAGAAUCUUGUCUAGAUAUUGG